AUGAUCAAGUGUCUUAAGGGCAUUUGGUGGAUGCCUUGGCAUGCACAGGCGAUGAAGGACGUGAUACGCUGCGAUAAGCGUCGGGGAGGUGCGAAUACCCUUUGAUCCGACGAUUUCCGAAUGGGGAAACCCACCUUAGAUAUCUAGAAAAUUAUUUUGGUUGGAAGAUUGAUCACAACCAUUGGACGGGCUGCCUUCCCAGAAGGACGCGCCCAUACAGACCGCUAGGUCGUCGGCCACUUUUGGCCGCCCCAGCGGAGCGCCAGUCCGAAGGACGUACGGCGCGUGAGCGAUCGGUAGAACCAAAAUAAUUUCUAGAUAUCAAAAUAAGGUAUCUAACUUUCGAAUACAUAGGGGUUAGAAGCGAACCCGGGGAACUGAAACAUCUAAGUACCCGGAGGAAAGGACAUCAAACGAGACUCCGUAAGUAGUGGCGAGCGAACGCGGACCAGGCCAGUGGCUUUUAUGAGACAAGUGGAACACCUUGGAAAGGGUGACCGAAGUGGGUGAUAGUCCCGUACACGUAAUGCGAAUAAAAGUCCUUGAGUAGGGCGGGACACGUGAAAUCCUGUCUGAACAUGGGGAGACCACUCUCCAAGCCUAAGUACUCGUGCAUGACCGAUAGCGAACCAGUACCGUGAGGGAAAGGUGAAAAGCACCCCGACAAGGGGAGUGAAAGAGAUCCUGAAACCGAAUGCCUACAAACAGUUGGAGCCCAAGAUUUGU
rnacentral:rRNA from 1 species